rnacentral:misc_RNA from 1 species
UGGUUCUGGCAUCGAUGAAGAACGCAGCGAAAUGCGAUAAGUAAUGUGAAUUGCAGAAUUUUGUGAAUCAUCGAAUCUUUGAACGCACAUUGCACCUUUUGGAAUUCCGAAAGGUAUGCUUGUUCGAGCGUCGUUUAAAUAUAUUCAAUUUAAUUAUUGAAUGAAUUGAGAAUUUUUAUCUUUGAAAUAUCAAGAUAUUCUUUAAAAUGAUUGUUAGCGAUAUUUUGAAAAAAUUAUAAUUCAAUGCAUUAAAACAUAACAAAAUCAUUGAAUAGAAAUUAUAUCAAAGAUCUGCCAAAUUGAAAACAAUUUAAUUAUUAUUAUACAAAUCGACCUCGGAUCAAGUAGGAAUACCCGCUGA